AUUGAACGCUGGCGGCAGGCCUAACACAUGCAAGUCGAACGAGUGGCGGACGGGUGAGUAAUGUCUGGGAAACUGCCUGAUGGAGGGGGAUAACUACUGGAAACGGUAGCUAAUACCGCAUACCAUCAGAUGUGCCCAGAUGGGAUUAGCUAGUUGGUGGGGUAACGGCUCACCAAGGCGACGAUCCCUAGCUGGACUGAGCGGAAGACCACCCACACUGAAACGGAGACACGCGCCAUACCCCUACGGUGGGCACAAGAAGGGAAUCAUGCCCAAGGGGCACAGGCCGGAUGCGGCCAUGCCGGGUAUGUAGGUAGAGACUUCGGGUUGUGAAGUACGUUCAACGGGGGGGCGUUACCCGCCGAAGAAGCACCGGCUAGCUCCGUGCCAGCAGCCGCGGUAAUUC
rnacentral:rRNA from 1 species